rnacentral:rRNA from 1 species
AUUGAACGCUGGCGGCAGGCCUAACACAUGCAAGUCGAGCGGUAGAGAGAAGCUUGCUUCUCUUGAGAGCGGCGGACGGGUGAGUAAUGCCUAGGAAUCUGCCUGGUAGUGGGGGACAACGUUUCGAAAGGAACGCUAAUACCGCAUACGUCCUACGGGAGAAAGCAGGGGACCUUCGGGCCUUGCGCUAUCAGAUGAGCCUAGGUCGGAUUAGCUAGUUGGUGAGGUAAUGGCUCACCAAGGCGACGAUCCGUAACUGGUCUGAGAGGAUGAUCAGUCACACUGGAACUGAGACACGGUCCAGACUCCUACGGGAGGCAGCAGUGGGGAAUAUUGGACAAUGGGCGAAAGCCUGAUCCAGCCAUGCCGCGUGUGUGAAGAAGGUCUUCGGAUUGUAAAGCACUUUAAGUUGGGAGGAAGGGCAGUAAAUUAAUACUCUGCAAUUUUGACGUUACCGACAGAAUAAGCACCGGCUAACUCUGUG